AACGGGUGAGUAAUACAUCGGAACGUGUCCUGGAGUGGGGGAUAGCCCGGCGAAAGCCGGAUUAAUACCGCAUACGCUCUGAGGAGGAAAGCGGGGGAUCUUCGGACCUCGCGCUCAAGGGGCGGCCGAUGGCAGAUUAGGUAGUUGGUGGGGUAAAGGCCUACCAAGCCGACGAUCUGUAGCUGGUCUGAGAGGACGACCAGCCACACUGGGGCUGAGACACGGCCCAGACUCCUACGGGAGGCAGCAGUGGGGAAUUUUGGACAAUGGGGGCAACCCUGAUCCAGCAAUGCCGCGUGUGUGAAGAAGGCCUUCGGGUUGUAAAGCACUUUUGUCCGGGAAGAAAUCCUUUCUGAUAAUACCGGAGGGGGAUGACGGUACCGGAAGAAUAAGCACCGGCUAACUACGUGCCAGCAGCCGCGGUAAUACGUAGGGUGCGAGCGUUAAUCGGAAUUACUGGGCGUAAAGCGUGCGCAGGCGGUGAUGUAAGACCGAUGUGAAAUCCCCGGGCUUAACCUGGGAACUGCAUUGGUGACUGCAUCGCUGGAGUAUGGCAGAGGGGGGUGGAAUUCCACGUGUAGCAGUGAAAUGCGUAGAGAUGUGGAGGAACACCGAUGGCGAAGGCAGCCCCCUGGGCCAAUACUGACGCUCAUGCACGAAAGCGUGGGGAGCAAACAGGAUUAGAUACCCUGGUAGUCCACGCCCUAAACGAUGUCAACUGGUUGUCGGGCCUUCAUUGGCUUGGUAACGUAGCUAACGCGUGAAGUUGACCGCCUGGGGAGUACGGUCGCAAGAUUAAAACUCAAAGGAAUUGACGGGGACCCGCAC
rnacentral:rRNA from 1 species